UUCUCGCUUAAAUUUUAGAAAAUUUUUGGGCAAUUCUUCUCCAUUUCCCACAAAAAAAAACAUGAUUUCAAUCAGAUAUCCAUGGCCAUGAUGUAAGCAUUUCUGAUUUUGUUCUGCUUUUUUAAGGCUAUUAUUAAUCCCUUGGAGCUAGCAAUGGAAGCACUCAAAGAGAUCCAAUUAUGGUUCUAUAAAGAUUUCCCUCCUCAUCCUAAGGAACAAGUUUAUGGAUUUGCAACACCAUCAACAAUGAAACCAACUCAAUGGUCUUAUCCAGGUGGUGGAAUUAACCAAAUCCAGCUGAAUGUACAGUUUCAGGGGAUGUUAGGUUGACUCCAUUUUACAGUGUAUCAGAUGUGCUGAAGAAGUUACAGGAGUAUGUAGAAGACAUAAAUGAAAACAUUGAGAAGCUUGAUACUAGGGACCCUAUUUCAAA